GGGGGAUAUUGCGCAAUGGGGGAAACCCUGACGCAGCAACGCCGCGUGAAGGAUGAAGGUCUUCGGAUUGUAAACUUCUUUUAUUAAGGACGAAGAAAGUGACGGUACUUAAUGAAUAAGCUCCGGCUAACUACGUGCCAGCAGCCGCGGUAAUACGUAGGGAGCAAGCGUUGUCCGGAUUUACUGGGUGUAAAGGGUGCGUAGGCGGCUUUGCAAGUCAGAUGUGAAAUCUAUGGGCUCAACCCAUAGCCUGCAUUGGAAACUGCAGAGCUUGAGUGAAGUAGAGGCAGGCGGAAUUCCCCGUGUAGCGGUGAAAUGCGUAGAGAUGGGGAGGAACACCAGUGGCGAAGGCGGCCUGCUGGGCUUUAACUGACGCUGAGGCACGAAAGCGUGGGUAGCAAAC
rnacentral:rRNA from 1 species